rnacentral:rRNA from 1 species
AUUAAACGCUGGCGGCAGGCCUAACACAUGCAAGUCGAACGGUAACAGGAAACAGCUUGCUGUUCCGCUGACGAGUGGCGGACGGGUGAGUAAUGUCUGGGAAACUGCCUGAUGGAGGGGGAUAACUACUGGAAACGGUAGCUAAUACCGCAUAACGUCGCAAGACCAAAGAGGGGGACCUUCGGGCCUCUUGCCAUCGGAUGUGCCCAGAUGGGAUUAGCUAGUAGGUGGGGUAACGGCUCACCUAGGCGACGAUCCCUAGCUGGUCUGAGAGGAUGACCAGCCACACUGGAACUGAGACACGGUCCAGACUCCUACGGGAGGCAGCAGUGGGGAAUAUUGCACAAUGGGCGCAAGCCUGAUGCAGCCAUGCCGCGUGUAUGAAGAAGGCCUUCGGGUUGUAAAGUACUUUCAGCGGGGAGGAAGGGAGUAAAGUUAAUACCUUUGCUCAUUGACGUUACCCGCAGAAGAAGCACCGGCUAACUCCGUG